rnacentral:lncRNA from 1 species
GCCUCGUGUUUUCUCUCUCCCAUUUUCCACACAAAGAAAGCACAGCGCCCCUCGCAGGAAUGGAGGUGCACAUUGCCGCUAAACCAAGCAUCGCCAUAUUGAUGUCCCAACAACGUCGAGAGGGCAUAUGACAGUGGGAAUCCUAGUGAUGACUCUACUGAGCCCGGUGCCCCCUGAUUAGACUGGUUGGAUGUCCUCCUUAACAACUACAACAAUCAGCCUCUACCAAACCAACGUAGCAUCAGCUCUGCAGCGACCCCACCUGUCACCUGCAGCUUGGAGGAAACCUCCAAGGUGAUCCA